CCUGAUGCAGCCAUGCCGCGUGUGUGAAGAAGGCCUUCGGGUUGUAAAGCACUUUCCGUAAAGUGGAAAAGUUAGUAGUUAAUACCUGCUAGCCGUGACGUUAACAACAGAAGAAGCACCGGCUAACUCCGUGCCAGCAGCCGCGGUAAUACGGAGGGUGCGAGCGUUAAUCGGAAUUACUGGGCGUAAAGCGCACGCAGGCGGUUUGUUAAGCUAGAUGUGAAAGCCCCGGGCUCAACCUGGGACGGUCAUUUAGAACUGGCAGACUAGAGUCUUGGAGAGGGGAGUGGAAUUCCAGGUGUAGCGGUGAAAUGCGUAGAUAUCUGGAGGAACAUCAGUGGCGAAGGCGACUCCCUGGCCAAAGACUGACGCUCAUGUGCGAAAGUGUGGGUAGCGAACAGGAUUAGAUACCCUGGUAGUCCACACCGUAAACGCUGUGUGCUAGCUGUUUGUGGCUUUAAGCCGUGAGUAGCGAAGCUAACGCGAUAAGUAGACCGCCUGG
rnacentral:rRNA from 1 species